GGCGAGGGACAACGCAUCGUGAUAUCGAUGCAGGAAGCUUUGAUGGGUUUUAUGAUCAGCGAAUUCCACGAACACUUCGUCGGGGUCGAAGUCGGCAACUAUCCGAUCCCCGCCGCCGACGGCUAUUUCACCUUGCGCAUGCCCGAUUUGAGCGACGGCGCCUGGGUUGAGCUCGCCAAGCUGAUGGAGCGAGAAGAUUUGAUCGGGGAUGCCCGUUUCGCUGAUCAGACGGCGCGCAAGCAGAAUCGCGCCGAAUUACUGGGUCUGAUCAAAGCAUGGGCACACGGCAGGACGCGCCAGGAGCUCUGGGAUGGGCUGCGCCCCAUCGACUAUUUUGGCGCUCCGGUGUUGUCCAUGGCUGAAGUCAUUGAGGAUCC
rnacentral:misc_RNA from 1 species